AUUGAACGCUGGCGGCAUGCGUAACACAUGCAAGUCGAACGGUGUUUGGUGCUUGCACCAGACAUAGUGGCGGACGGGUGAGUAAUGCGUAGGAAUCUGUCUUAGAGAGGGGGACAACCCGAGGAAACUUGGGCUAAAACCGCAUAUUCUCGAGAGAGGAAAGCAGGGGACCGGAAACGGCCUUGUGCUCUAAGGUGAGCCUACGUCGGAUUAGCUAGUUGGUAGGGUAAAAGCCUACCAAGGCGAUGAUCUGUAGCUGGUCUGAGAGGACGGACAGCCACACUGGGACUGAGACACGGCCCAGACUCCUACGGGAGGCAGCAGUGGGGAAUAUUGGACAAUGGGGGGAACCCUGAUCCAGCGAUGCCGCGUGUGUGAAGAAGGCCUGCGGGUUGUAAAAGCACUUUCAGUGGGAAAGAGAAGCGUCUUGUGAAUAAUGGGACGUGGAGACGUUACUCACAGAAGAAAGCACCGGCUAAACUCUGUGCCAGCAGCCGCGGUAAU
rnacentral:rRNA from 1 species